AAGUCGUAACAAGGUUUCCGUAGGUGAACCUGCGGAAGGAUCAUCAUCGAAUUCAUAUCCCCCUCCUCAACCGGAGGGGGACCCAUGAUAAACCCUUCUGUGCACCGUAAACCGUUCACUUUGGCAGGCUUUGGUGGUGAGCGUGAGCUCGCCUCCAACCUCGCGUUCCCUCCCUAGGGGUGUUACGCGUGGCGGCCUGCCGGAGUCCCAUUAAAGAACUCGUUUUCGAACACGUCUGAAAAUUUCCUUUGAGAAAUCAAAGAACCGAAAACAACUUUCAACAACGGAUCUCUUGGCUCUC
rnacentral:misc_RNA from 1 species